AACCGCGAUAUGAAUACCUACCUCGCCUACCUCGCGCUAUGCUGUCAUUGUAGACCCGCUCACUGCUCACUCACGCAUAGUCGCGUAGUAUGGAUGGAGCUGCAUAGUGGUCGAAAGAGAUAGCUUAUUACGUACGAGUGGCUGGUGCAGGAAUGAGCCUUGAAGAGAAAUUUACCAACAGCUAAGUUCCUGACUCAAGACAAGGCUUGAACGCACUGAGCUUUUGCAAGAAGACUGGAUCCAAUGUACCUAAUAAACUAGGUGAGAGGACAAACAUUUUUGGAGUCAACAUUUUUCAUUUACUUUACUCUCUAGACGAGUUAGCGCAAGUCCAGUCGAGAUGUUCUAUUAGGAGGGAUGACCGACCAUUGAUAUUCCCUAGAAAACAAGUCAGAUGUCACCAUUAAAAUUAUAUUUUGUUAUUUCUCUUUUGAAUGGAACAUGAUCAUCUACAAACCGCAACAAAUACCGUUUCUUUGGAAAAUUCCAUCUUUUUGCUGGUGGGUACCAGAAAUGUGCACGCCGUUAUAACCUUAUGUGUUAUUUACAGUAUGACUCCCACUAAUGACGAAUAUGAGUGAACUAUGAACCUAAAAAAAUGGAGUUAAAUAGUUUGAGUUUUUGUACAAUCGAUUCCAGCUACAAUAACGAUUAUAUGAUAGCAGGAGGCAUGAAGAAACUAUUUCACCCACACCGUAUUUUUUGCCAUUAUGUGCAAUUGAGAAAAUUUAAGAUAACUACUAUCAGACUGUUCAAUACUCAAUAAUUGCUGUAACAAAUGAGUAUAACAAAUGUUGUGAUUUUGCCAAUGAACGAUUUUUCAUUGCAUUUUCCGCUAAAAGGUGAGAGUGUUACCGGAUUUUUCUUAUUAGAACAACGAUAAUCUCUCAUUUUUGAGAGUACAUUUUCCCAUUCAGGAAUGACUGUUUUCCCUAAACGUUCAACCGCAAUUCAAAUUUUUAUGGGGUCUCGACACAAGGCAAACAUAAUGAAUCAAAAAAUUCGCAAUUGUUGAGUGUGAAUUGAGCCCUUAGAAACCAGGUUUCACACAACCAAAAAUAUGCGUGCUUAAUUUUUUUACCCACUUUACUAUCCACCCGGUUUCUCUGUCAAAUUGACUUAUAUCGCAUAGUAGGAAUGUUGUUUUAUUCGCGUUCACCAUCAUUGACACAAAUAACAAUGUUGAAGAUUUUUUGGAAGUUUUUUUCCUUUUUCUACCUUCUAAUUCAGAUUCCAUAGCCCAUUCAUC